rnacentral:rRNA from 1 species
UACGAAGGGAGCUAGCGUUGUUCGGAAUUACUGGGCGUAAAGGCGCGUAGGCGGCUUCGCUAGUUGGGCGUGAAAUGCCUGGGCUUAACCCAGGAACUGCGCUCAAUACUUCGAGGCUCGAGUGUGGGAGAGGACAGUGGAAUUCCCAGUGUAGAGGUGAAAUUCGUAGAUAGUUGGGAAGAACACCGGUGGCGAAGGCGGCCAUCUGGACCGGCACUGACGCGUGAGGCGCGAAAGCGUGGGGAGCAAACAGGG